rnacentral:tRNA from 1 species
AGCGGUGUGGCCUGGCGGGUAGAGCCCGGGCCUGGGGAGUCGGAAGGACCUGGGUUCUAAUCCCGGCUCCGCCA